rnacentral:rRNA from 1 species
GUAGGUGGCAAGCGUUGUCCGGAAUUAUUGGGCGUAAAGCGCGCGCAGGCGGUUCUUUAAGACUGAUGUGAAAGCCCACGGCUCAACCGUGGAGGGUCAUUGGAAACUGGAGAACUUGAGUACAGAAGAGGAAAGCGGAAUCCACGUGUAGCGGUGAAAUGCGUAGAGAUGUGGAGGAACACCAGUGGCGAAGGCGGCUUUCUGGUCUGUAACUGACGCUGAGGCGCGAAAGCGUGGGGAGCAAACAGGAUUAGAUACCCUGGUAGUCCACGCCGUAAACGAUGAGUGCUAAGUGUUAGGGGGGUUUCCGCCCCCCUUAGUGCUGCAGCUAACGCAUUAAGCACUCCGCCUGGGAGUACGGCCGCAAGGCUG